GAGAGGUGGCCGAGCGGUUUAAGGCGCUGGUCUUGAAAACCAGUGAUGCGGCAACGCACCGUGGGUUCGAAUCCCACCCUCUCC
rnacentral:tRNA from 1 species